UAAACCCUCCUUCGGCCCCAGACAACCUCCCCCUUAUGAUCAGACUGGUCUGCCACCUGGUGGUAUUCUGUCCGUACUGCAUCUCCACUUUCAUCAUGGUGUGUCUAUAUCGACGCUGGGCCACAGGAAACGGCCUACCUGUUGCCAUGGUGAUGACCUCACCCACCCAGGCUGAGGAGGGAUUGGAUGAUGAAUAUGAGAAUGACAUCACCGCUGUCACCAGAGAGCAUCACUUCUGAACUGAUCUGAAGAGAAGCUGAAAUCUCCGUAGAUCAGAAACAGUUCCCCCGGCCGUCUUGAUAUAAUUAUGAUUUAAACAUAUUCAAUAUGAAAUCAAUGCUUUAAGUUUGAAUUGCUCCUUUACUGCCAGCCACAGCUAUCUCUGUAAUCCUGAAUAUUUUAUGUUAUAACAAUAAAGCUUUUUUUUUCGUAGUUUUUCAUGAAA